GAUGAACGCUAGCGGCAGGCUUAAUACAUGCAAGUCGAGGGACAGCACAGGUAGCAAUACUGGGUGGUAACCGGCAAACGGGUGCGGAACACGUACACAACCUUCCUUUAAGUGGGGGAUAGCCCAGAGAAAUUUGGAUUAAUACCCCGUAAUAUAGUUGAAUGGCAUCAUUUGAUUAUUAUAGCUACGGCGCUUAAUGAUGGGUGUGCGGCUGAUUAGAUAGUUGGCGGGAUAACGGCCCACCAAGUCUACGAUCAGUAGCUGAUGUGAGAGCAUGACCAGCCAAACGGGCACGUGGACACGGGCCCGACUCCUACGGGAGGAAGCAGUAAGGAAUAUUGGUCAAUGGACGCAAGUCUGAACCAGCCAUGCCGCGUGAAGGAUUAAGGUCCUCUGGAUUGUAAACUUCUUUUAUUUGGGACGAAAAAGGGCCUUUCUAGGUCAACUGACGGUACCAGAUGAAUAAGCACCGGCUAACUCCGUGCCAGCCGCCGCGGUAAUAC
rnacentral:rRNA from 1 species